AUUGAACGCUGGCGGCAGGCCUAACACAUGCAAGUCGAGCGGCAGCGGGAAAGUAGCUUGCUACUUUUGCCGGCGAGCGGCGGACGGGUGAGUAAUGCCUGGGAAAUUGCCCAGUCGAGGGGGAUAACAGUUGGAAACGACUGCUAAUACCGCAUACGCCCUACGGGGAAAGCAGGGGACCUUCGGGCCUUGCGCGAUUGGAGCGGCCGAUGUCAGAUUAGGUAGUUGGUGGGGUAAAGGCUCACCAAGCCAACGAUCUGUAGCUGGUCUGAGAGGACGACCAGCCACACUGGGACUGAGACACGGCCCAGACUCCUACGGGAGCAGCAGUGGGGAAUUUGGACAAUGGGCGAAAGCCGUGAUCCAGCAAUGCCGCGUGCAGGAAGAAGGCCUUCGGUGUAACUGCUUUGUACGGAGC
rnacentral:rRNA from 1 species